CCUUCUCUGCAGCUACUAAUGACUAAGGAGAUGCUCUCCAGCUUGUGAAAUUAUAGGGGUUCUGUCCCUGCUUAGGAAGUCUAACUGCACAGGCUCCUGCUCCUUCUUGUCAUAAAGCUGUUCUCCUCAGUUCAGUCAGCCCGAGUGUUUAAGGAGAGACUGUUCUAUCAUCCCAAAUCUCUCCCUGUGGAUAGGUGUAGUCCCCUGCAGCCUCACAGGGGUUUCUGGCUGUUCAUUCCCAGUACUACACUGGGAGCAGAGGACUAGACAGAGCAGACAACAGGCCAUAACAAUGGUGUGGUGGCUCUCAGGGUGAGCCCUGGGUUUACUUACCUGCAGAGGGUUGAUGUGUCCCCUGUUGUUGGCAGUUCCCAAGAGCAGCUUUAAGAUGUUUGUCUUUUGGACUGGACUCAAAACUUCCCUCAGGUUUUAGUGGCUUAUUCAUGGAGGGGCAAAACGGACCCUGGGAAUGUGUGUGCCCUUCCUGGAGCUCACAGGGGUGACUGCUGGGGUUGGGAAGAGUGGUGGAGAAUGUGUCAAACCAGUGUGGAUCCCUAAGCUUAGUGCUUUUAAUACUCCGUAGCUUCUACUGUGUGUGGUGUUGAAAUGAGAAGGCACCAAGUUUUGGUUUGCUGUAACUUCGUUAUCUCCAGCAAACUAAGCUGGGUACUUGCUAUCUUGCUACAGUGGAAUCACACAUCGUUUUAUUUACAAACAUUUUCCAACUUUACAAAAACCAUAACAGUAUGUUUAAGUUUUAGAAGCAAACAUUGGGAACAUGGUGUUUCUAAGCAGCGGUUAGCUUAAAAGUGCACUUCAGAUAGGAGGAAUUGUUUAAACUUGUCCUUAGCUCAGAUUCUAAGAUUUCUCCAAGGUAAAUUGCUCCAUAUUAGAUAACUCCCUCAACAGUUUUGGUUCCUGCUGAAAUUUCACACCACUGAACAGUCUCUCUCCUACUUUCUCACUGGAGUGUAGCAGGUACAUGUGAAUCUUUGCUUCGAGAGCUGAAUCACAGUCUGUCAUCGCAGUGAUGUGAGAAAUGGAAAUGUGUUUCAGAUACAAAAACCAAAUAAACAUGAGAACAGAGCAGGUGUGUUGUUGCUCUUCUAGCUGUGUACAGUGUGGAGAUAGCAAGGCAGUAGGCACCUCCCCAUAGAUAGGCACGUACUCGCAGAUAAAUGUGCAACCACCCUGAAGCCGUAAAAGGCAAUGUUAGUGUAACUGGUCCUCCAACAUCAGGAAACCUGCAUGCAAGUUGUGAUAGUGUUAUUGACCCCAGAGGCACUUGUGUUCAGUGGUUUUCCCCUCUUGUGCUUCAGGGCUGUGUACAAACAGUCAGACACCUGGACUGUGCUUCCCUUAGUGUGAUCCUGCUGCAAGUGUCUGGUUUGAAGUUAAUAUUUAAUAUUUAUAUUGGUUCUCUGCAAUAUUUUGGUAUAUAUUAAGCUUCAAAAUACUAAACGUUUACUCCCAUGUAUGUCACCAUCUGUGCUGACAUUACUGUGAAAGCUCCACAGCUGAUCUGACUUGUACGCCUUGUGAAUUCACCUGUAUUUUCUUUGUUUCUGCAUUUUGUUUAAUUUCCAAAAGACAUUAAAGAGAUUUCAGCGCUG